UUUCCGUAGGUGAACCUGCGGAAGGAUCAUUCAUAAUAAAGUGUUUUAUGGCACUUUUUAAAAAUCCAUAUCCACCUUGUGUGCAAUGUUAGAUCUCGUCAAUCUUGGCGAGAUUUUUAUACAUCAACUCAUUCUUUAACUAAUUUGUUUGAAAAAUAUUAUGAAUACUUAAUUCAAAAUACAACUUUCAACAACGGAUCUCUUGGCUCUC
rnacentral:misc_RNA from 1 species